CAGCGACGGUCUUGCGGUCGUCUCGCUUUUCGCGUUUCUCCGCGGUCGCGAAGCUGACGGCCAGACCUUACGCUGGUGGGCUCCUUAAAAUUCAGCCUAAAAUAGCUUUUAGAUUGACUGUAGCUUCGUUUUGAAGACGAACCCAGAGCAGAUGUGGAAUUACUGAAAUGUAUACGAUUGUAGAGAUGGGCAGCUCGAGCUUCGUGGAGGUUUUGGUGCGUUUUGACAAAACAUAAUCUGUUUUUUGGCUGAUUUUGGACAUCUGGAGUAUUGCAGAAACAAAAGGAGCGUUUAUCCUGAAUCAUUGCACCCCACCUGAGACGCUGAAAGUCAAUGGCAAAAACACAAAGCAGUCACAUGACCACCAAACUUAGAUCCCCCACCCACCCGUGUUGUUAUUUGUUGGCAGGCGGCGCGGAGGACGAGCGAACGAACGCUGAUGGUAGCGGAUGGAGUAGGAGUUGGAGGAUGGAGAACGGAGUGAACUCGGGAGCAGGUGAACACAGCUGUGGACCGCCAUGGGCUCUCUCUCGCUCUCUCUCUCCUUUUUUCCCCCAUGGCUUCUCUGUUUCGGAGGUUCCGAGGAGACGGCAGGGGCCAGCCAGCGAGUGCUGGAGUGGGCAGGCAGAGGCGGGCUGCUGCGCCCGCCGGCUAGCGGCUCAGCGGCACCGAGGAGGGAGGGAAAUCGAUGCAGAGGAAAGAGGCUGCCAGGGGUCGCCCAAUGCAGCCUCCGGCCGCGGCGCCGUGGGAUUCCAAAACGCUCGCCUAUCCCUCGCCCUACCCACUCCCAGUCAACUCACAUCAGCCUGAGAGAGGGAGAGCGGGAGAGAGAGAAGGCCAGAAGCACCGAUGAUGAUGCUCCAUGAGAGAGAGAGAAUGUGUGUAAGAGUGUGUGCGAGCACACACAUGUGUGUGGUUCCGCCGGAGGGACUUUGCAGCCCCAGCACCACUUGAUAAAACUUUGUCUGUGAGGAGAACGAGUAGAAAAAGAGUGUCAAAGGUCUUUUUUUUUCUCCCCCACCCUCCUCGAUUCCUUUCUGCCGUGAGUGCACAUUCCCCGUGACUGUUUGAAUGAGCGCUUGACGGAGGAUCCCUCUCACUGUGAAUUGAGGAGGCCUUCUCAUUUUUUCAGACCCUCCUCCAAGCAUGUACAAAGUGCUCUACAUCAGAUGAGCUGGCAAGAGAGGACAACUUGAACUUUUCUCUUUUUUUCUUUAUUGGGAGGACAUUUUUUCACCUUUUCAGUUGCAGAUUAAAUUACAUGAUUUUUUUUAAAUACUCCAAACCCCUUGAGAGCGUCUGAAAAAGGCUUUAAAAAAGAAAGGGUUUUGAUCCACAUCAAGAGGCCUGGUUCUCCCUGGAACUGUUCCUGUAGUGCUAGAUUUUGAUAAGAUCACAUUUAGAGAGAAGGGGCAGCAUGGACAUCCCCAAGAAAAGGGAUGAACUUUAUGAAUAUUAGCUGCCUUCUACUAAUGUAGUGUGCCAUUUGGACUUAGGAAUGCUCCAGUUCUUCUCCGUUUCUUCUCCUUCAGUUUGCAUUUAAAAAGUGGAAUGAACUCGAAAGGCUAAUAAUGCUAAGGGUAAUAAUACCUGUCCUCGUGGAUGACCUAAGGACUGAUGCAUACCAGGAUGUGGCCCGACCCCUGCCAGCCAGCCUGCCAACCUGCCCAAGCAACUGGAUUCAAAUGGUGAUGUAAAUGCUGUCUAGAUCCACUUCCUUCAGCGUUUCUGACCUCAGACUGACCUCUGAACCUCUGUGAGAAGAAGAACAUGGUUUGGUGAUGAUAUUUCUCUGUGAAUAAUUAGAUUUAGAGUUUAAAUGCUGGGUAAGUAUUUGGCAGUAAAACAAGGUAAGUUUCUGGAUUAGUUGGAUCAUAAUGAAGCAGCUUUGGUGGUGGUGGACAUUUUAACCCAUAAGAGCCCAGUUCUGAAUAUUGAUACAAAAUCUGUUCAAAUUAAUUAAUUUUUUUACUGUGAUAAAGAGGGGACAUGACUGUUUUUAGGUGUUAAGUUUAAAAUUCAGAUAAAUGGUAACAUAGAUGGUACAACAAUGCUUUUAUUUUUAUUUUUUUCAAAAUACUGUUCUAGAAAUCAGGACAGAUCUAGUUCUAUGAUGCAUAAAACAUUUUUUAAAGCAAUUAAAGUGUUAAAAUAGUUUAAACAAAGCUGUAUAAGCAAAAACACAUUAAAAAACAUUAAUAAAAGGAGCUACUUCAUAGCUCCAGCUAUACCCCAGCACACCAAUCUACACUCAUAAAUAAGGUCAGAUUAACUAAAAAACAGAUUCACACACUGUCCUGUAGUGUUGUUCUCAGGAUGUUCAGUAGAGGUCACUUAGAUGUCACUCAUAUGUUAAAGUGAAGGCCUGACAGAGUGCUUUAAGGAACUUUACACAUUUUUUUAAAGGGUCUUUGACACAUACUUCACCAUGGGUUCUUUUGGGUUAAUAUUAUUCCAUAAUAAUGGUCAUUUCUAAUGAUAAUUUCAUGUUUAGUCCUCAGUUUAUAACAUGCAUUUUUUGUUUAAAUAUUUGUAUUAUACAUGAUAUAUACAAUGAGUUUAAUGCUGUGUAUCAGAUGUACACAAAAUGUAUUUAAAAAUGACUGAAAAAUAAAAGUGAACACUGAAUUUA